AUUUGUUAAGAACAAAAUUACUUUUCAGUUUUGAAAACUAGAAACAUGUUCAUAUUGUAAUUGUUAUCUACAGUAAAGAGAGUUGGAAUGAUUAACCGUGAUAAUUUGUAUAACAAGUAUUGCCCUUUUAUCAUAGAAAGUUCCAUAAUUAAUUUUGUUAUAUAAUUUUUUUAAGUCAUAAUCAUUGCAAAGUAAAAGAUGAAAAUAAAAG
rnacentral:misc_RNA from 1 species